GCCUSGAAUCCAAGCCAUACCGCGUGGGUGAAGAAGGCCUUUCGGGUUGUAAAGCCCUUUUGUUGGGAAAGAAAUCCAGCUGGCUAAUACCCGGUUGGGAUGACGGUACCCAAAGAAUAAGCACCGGCUAACUUCGUGCCAGCAGCCGCGGUAAUA
rnacentral:rRNA from 1 species